rnacentral:rRNA from 1 species
UCAGGCGCGGCCUACACAUGCAAGUCGAGCGGUAGCACAGAGAGCUUGCUCUCGGGUGACGAGCGGCGGACGGGUGAGUAAUGUCUGGGAAACUGCCUGAUGGAGGGGGAUAACUACUGGAAACGGUAGCUAAUACCGCAUAAUGUCGCAAGACCAAAGAGGGGGACCUUCGGGCCUCUUGCCAUCAGAUGUGCCCAGAUGGGAUUAGCUAGUAGGUGGGGUAACGGCUCACCUAGGCGACGAUCCCUAGCUGGUCUGAGAGGAUGACCAGCCACACUGGAACUGAGACACGGUCCAGACUCCUACGGGAGGCAGCAGUGGGGAAUAUUGCACAAUGGGCGCAAGCCUGAUGCAGCCAUGCCGCGUGUAUGAAGAAGGCCUUCGGGUUGUAAAGUACUUUCAGCGGGGAGGAAGGUGUUGAGGUUAAUAACCUCAGCAAUUGACGUUACCCGCAGAAGAAGCACCGGCUAACUCCGUGCCAGCAGCCGCGGUAAUACGGAGGGUGCAAGCGUUAAUCGGAAUUACUGGGCGUAAAGCGCACGCAGGCGGUCUGUCAAGUCGGAUGUGAAAUCCCCGGGCUCAACCUGGGAACUGCAUUCGAAACUGGCAGGCUAGAGUCUUGUAGAGGGGGGUAGAAUUCCAGGUGUAGCGGUGAAAUGCGUAGAGAUCUGGAGGAAUACCGGUGGCGAAGGCGGCCCCCUGGACAAAGACUGACGCUCAGGUGCGAAAGCGUGGGGAGCAAACAGGAUUAGAUACCCUGGUAGUCCACGCCGUAAACGAUGUCGAUUUGGAGGUUGUGCCCUUGAGGCGUGGCUUCCGGAGCUAACGCGUUAAAUCGACCGCCUGGGGAGUACGGCCGCAAGGUUAAAACUCAAAUGAAUUGACGGGGGCCCGCACAAGCGGUGGAGCAUGUGGUUUAAUUCGAUGCAACGCGAAGAACCUUACCUGCUCUUGACAUCCACAGAACUUUCCAGAGAUGGAUUGGUGCCUUCGGGAACUGUGAGACAGGUGCUGCAUGGCUGUCGUCAGCUCGUGUUGUGAAAUGUUGGGUUAAGUCCCGCAACGAGCGCAACCCUUAUCCUUUGUUGCCAGCGGUCCGGCCGGGAACUCAAAGGAGACUGCCAGUGAUAAACUGGAGGAAGGUGGGGAUGACGUCAAGUCAUCAUGGCCCUUACGACUAGGGCUACCACGUGCUACAAG